rnacentral:lncRNA from 13 species
GUGAGCUCAUCGCUAGCUGGGCUUAUAGGUUAAAUAAAAAGGAAGUUGAGAAUCCAACUGGAUGUAGGUUGCCUGCCUAUAGAGGGCUGGUCCAGGGCUGAGGGGGAGUUGACGGAGGUAGGGAUGGAGAGGGUUAAGUUACACCAGUGGAAGAGAAGGAAAGGCUGAGGUGUUGAUCUCACUGAGAAGUCGCCUGUGCCGCUGAGCAGUGCCCCGGGUAUCCCACUCUCUCUCUGAACGUUUACAAGUCAUCCGUUCAGGACGGGGACUGGGAAACACCGCAGAGGACCGUGAGACCCCAGGAAUUCAGGUUCCCUGACUGUGUACCAAUCAGCAGCGCUAGAGAAGGCAACACGGAACUCGAGGGCGCCUCUGAACCAGCCCAAGAGGCAAAGGACUGCUGCUGGGGCAUCGUACUGCGGAUAAACUGAAUCGUUGCCUGGACCCGGACCCAAGUGGACAGCAUGCCCCCCGCAACACCACCCACCUUCGGGGACUCUCGGACAGAGUCACUAGGACUACGGAGUACACCCGUCAAGAUGUGGAAUCGCAGCGUUGCCUGAAAUUGUAAACGCCUGCGCUAGGUGUCAUUUACUGGGGGAUCUGACCAGGGAUAGUUCACCAUGCUCAAUGGAUAUACAGUAAAACGGCUUUCAGCAUCUCCGAAAAAGGCCUCUGGAUCCAAAUUUCAAGUCCAACGGAGGCUGCAUCAGUCUGUGCCCAGCCUUGUGUGAAGCAAAAGAGAGAAACAGCAAGAGAGAGACUGAAAGAGAGGAAGAGAAGGAGGAGGGAGGGCUCUCCAAUGAUAACCCUGAGUCGAGCGAGCGUGGAUGGAGGCCGGCGAAGGAGGCGCAUUGCUUAAUGAGACCAUUGCUCUUGUGUUGGGAGGCUUAGGACAGGCAAUUACUGAGGGAUUACCACC